GACGAACGCUGGCGGCGUGCCUAAUACAUGCAAGUCGAGCGGUCCCUUCGGGGAUAGCGGCGGACGGGUGAGUAACACGUAGGCAACCUGCCUGUAAGACCGGAAUAACUAACGGAAACGAUAGCUAAGACCGGAUAGCUGGUUUUCUCGCAUGAGAGAAUCAUGAAACACGGGGCAACCUGUGGCUUACAGAUGGGCCUGCGGCGCACUAGCUAGUUGGUAGGGUAACGGCCUACCAAGGCGACGAUGCGUAGCCGACCUGAGAGGGUGACCGGCCACACUGGGACUGAGACACGGCCCAGACUCCUACGGGAGGCAGCAGUAGGGAAUCUUCCGCAAUGGACGCAAGUCUGACGGAGCAACGCCGCGUGAGUGAUGAAGGUCUUCGGAUCGUAAAGCUCUGUUGCCCUAGACGAACAGCAAGGAGAGUAACUGCUCUUUGUGUGACGGUAUAGGAGAAGAAAGCCCCGGCUAACUACGUGCCAGCCGCCGCAGUAA
rnacentral:rRNA from 1 species